GACUCGCAGUGACCCCAGGGACUGCAGCCCACCAGGCUCCUUCGUCCAUGGGAUUUUCCAGUAACAUAAUAUUUGAAUAGAACCUGCGAGUGCCACAUCUGUGGUGCAGGAAGAACAGAGUUUGCUUGGUGGACGGAUGUGAUGAUGAGAGGGAGAGCUGAUGGUGAAAAGUUUCAAGGAGGAAGGGAAGGUACUGGUGGGAGAGGAGCAACAUGAAGCCCGUGGAGAUAGGAGAUAAUGUUGGGGAGGAAAAUUUGGGUGAGCUAAUAGAGGGUUUUAAAGACGCCUUAAGGAUCUUGGACUUUAGUAGGCAGUGAGGUGUCAAUAAAGAUUUUUGAGUGAA